UACCACUCACGUCCUCUCGCCCGUCAGGAUUUUGUUUCCAUUAACCAUUUCAGUCAUGGGAGAUUUGGUUUAUGUGGCUCUCCAUCGAUGGAAUGCCGAUGAAUGCACAUAUGAACAUACAUACAUAGUUCUGUUUUGCUUUAGAAUUCAGUGUCAGCUAGGGAUGCUCUAAAUUUCAUGGUUGUUGCUUGAUGUGGAAUAUGCAACUGGAACCGGCGACCAGCCCUUCCUCGCCCUCAGCCUCGACACCACCACUGAC